rnacentral:rRNA from 1 species
AUGUAAUUUGCGGACAGCUCAUUAUAACAUCCGUUACAUUCACCGUAAUGGUUUUGAUUAACAUUUACAAGGAUACUCCUGGUAACUCCAUGCCUAAUACUUGCUUCAACGUGGACUCUCAAUCUUGAUUGGGGGAAAACGGCAUUUAUUAGUUUUCUUAAAUCAACGAUAGUAUUGGAUGGUAACAUCUGGUAUUAUUUUUAAUGAUUUAUGAUAAUUUAGCGGACCUGUAUCUAAUACAGGCACACGGUAUUGGCGGAUAAUAUAUUAGUUUGUAAGUAGUGUCUUGGACUACUUASACGUUGAUGUAAUCGGGGAUCUAGAGAUUGACUCCGGAGAGUUAGCCUGAGAGAUAGCUAACAUUUCUAAGGAAAGCAGCAGGGACGCAAAUUAUCCACUGACAAUUCGUCGAGAUAGGAACCAUUUGUGAAGUUGUUUAUUUUGCUUUACAGCGAGUAAAUAAUUUCAGUACAAUGCACAUCAGUAAAACUCCUUUUGGAAGAAUAAGGUAAUGGCUUUGCCAGCAUCUGCGGUAAGAAUGAAUAUUCAAGUGUUUCAUUGAUUUAUUGCGAUUAAAACGUUCGUAGUUGGUCUUUUUGUUUGUCACGCUGUGUCUCACUUAGUGAAUUGUCUGCUGGGGUUUUGCUCCGGUUUGACAGCACAGCGAUUUUUUCAAACAAUGUGGAUAGGUGGAAUUGGGUUCAACUAAUUCACACGCUAUUCUUUCCCAUGAACAAAAGAGCACGCUCCAAGUAGGCUUUUAAUAUAAUGCUUGAUUCAUUCAGCAUGGAAUAAACACAACAGGCCAAAAAGAUUCUGGUACGUUCCAGAUCUGGUUAUUCGUUGUCGUUGGUUUUUUACAUUAACUGGUCAUGAUCUCUGAAGACGGUUGGGGGAUGUUUGUACUCAUAGAAGAGGGGUGAAAUCUUUGGACUCUGUGAAGACAAUCUUUAGCGAAGGCAUUCAUCAAUUACGUCCUUUUCAAUCAAGAACGAAAGUUAGAGUAUCGAAGGGCAUUAGACACACCCGUAGUUUUAACUAUAAACGAUGACAUCUUAGGAUGCUGAAUACUUUACCUCCCGGUCAAACGGGGGGAUCAUUUUUCAUUUAAAUUUGUAUGAAAGUACAAAUUUACCACGAAUUUCAACGCACUAUGUGGGAAACCAAAGCUGCCUUCGUGGAGUGUAUGUUAGCAAUAAUGAAAUUUGAAGAAAUUGACGGAAGUAUCACCACCAGGAGUGGAGCUUGCGGCUUAAUUUGACUCAACGCGAGGAACUUUACCAGUGCCGGACACCGUAAGGAAAGACAGAUUGCAGCUCUUUCUUGAUUCUGUGCUUGUUGUAUGUAGUGCAUGGUCUUUGGGAAGUGAGUGGAUUGAUUUUUCUGAUUAAUUUCGAUAACUAGCGAGACCUCAACCUUGAUGGUGGGUCUCUUUUAUGAGAUACCACUAUGAUGUAAAUACGUUGGUAUAUAUUCGUAUAUACAGCUCUUUCAACAACGUUCUUAAAGGGACUACUGUAGUUUUAUACAGGGGAAGCUUGAGGCGAUAAAAGGUCCGUGAUGCUCUUAGAUGUUCUGGGCCGCUCGCGCGCUACACUGGUUCAAGCAACGAGUUUUUUGUAGGCCACUCAUGUAUUAAGUCGAUUGUAGCAAUAUAGUCGAUAAGAUACCUGAUGCCUACCCCUGAUUCGAGAGGAUUGGGAAAUCUUUGAAAUUGAACCGUGCUGGGGAUUGACAAUUGCAAUUAUUUGUCAUGAACGAGGAAUUCCUAGUAAGCGCAUGUCAUCAGCAUGCAUUGAAUACGUUUCUGAUCUUUGUACACACCGCCCGUCGCUGUUACCGAUUGAAUGGUUUAGUGAGUAUCGGGGAGAUAUUAUUCUGAAUUCUUUUCGGAGAAUUUGAACGACAUCGAACCGCUUCAAACUGUAUCAUUUAGAGGAAGCAAAA